rnacentral:tRNA from 1 species
GGUAUAGCUCAGUGGUAGGGCACUUGCCUAUCAUGCACAAUGCCCUGGGUUCCAUUCCCAGUACC